UCCUCCUCUCGCUCAGAGACAGUUCCUCUCUCCCUCUCGUAAUGCCGCCUUCCCUCCAGCACAUCAGUCAGAUGCGACCUCGAGCAGCGACGCCCCUUCCUCCAUCUCGACCUUUAGCAGCGGCAGCGACCACCCUCUACGCUACAGGUUUCCGAUCCGUGCUACCGUCGAUGGUGGCCGCGCUUCCGCAGUCCCUAAAACGUCCCUUCCCCAGGCCAGGUAGCUCCAAGCAGACGUGUACCACGUCUCUGUUUUGUUGUAAUACCUUGUGUAAGUUUGUCCGAACUACAGAUUUACAGAGUGGAUUAUGGCAGAUUUGGGGGAGAUAUCGUGUGUAAGUUUGAUCCAUGGGAUAAGUCGUGUCGUUUCCGAUCGCUAAUAAUCUUGUUAUGAUGCUUAAUGAAUCUGUCCUUUUCAAUAGACCUCUUCAUGGAAAUACACUCAUGUUAACUUGAUUUGAUGUGAACGGUUGUUGGCAUCGGUGAGGAGAGCCAUUUUAUUCAGUUGUACCCUUCUUUAAGGCAUAUUACAUGGAGUUGCACUUUUUAAUACAUGUUCUUGAGGUUUGCCAUUUGAUAGACAUGACCAGUGAACGAAUUAUGUAUGUGGAUUGUUUGGAUCGAGCAAGAGAGUACAUGUAUUUCCUUAAUUUGUUGGAGAACUCAAUAUUGAUGCAGAGACAUUCAAGGUUAUUUAUACCUGGUUUAAUUACUCAACCUAUAGUUUAUUUCCAUGCCGAGGUGUUCAAUUGUUGUCUUCGCAAAAAGUUCUUGAGAGAAAUAAUAGUGCCAUUCGAAUUCCGGUGUCUACUCUUAGAUCUGAUCAUCUUAUUCUUUAAUUCAUUUUUUUCAGGAUUUUACCUUGGAAUUCCUCGGUUGGACUACGUCUUCAAGUCUACACUGCUUUGUCCUAAUUACAUAGUAUCUACAUCACUACGCCACAACAAAAGAUGGGUUUCGAGCUAAUAUUCUUUAAGUGCUGAAAUAGGUCGCUAUGGCAUAUCAACUUCCAACUGAAAGUAGUGGUAAAUUACAAGGCUAUAUAUAUCAAACAUAGUUAUUUAUCAUAGUUUUACAAGUGCAGGGGCCAUCUGAAUCUACUUUGCCAUCAUUGUAGUUACUUUGAUGAAAUUACAAGUUGUCUUUGAUGGAGGAGUAGAGAAAGGAACUCCCUUCUUUGCAGGCCCAGCUUAGCGUACUGGAAGGGAAAUUGCUUGAGCGAGAUGAAGCUUUGGGGUCAGUCGAGUACGUGAUACACCCCACGAACUUAAUUGAUAUAAUGCAUGACGGGAAUAUCAAGUUUGCUAUUUCCCUUCCGAAUUAUAUUAUCAUGCUUGUUUGUAUCAGAUGCAAGACAACAUGCAGAUACGUAAGUAACAUAUGUAAUCUCCUCCGCGUUAUUUAUUUCUAGCUCAUAAAAUUGUAGACUCAAUGUAAACACUUCUCUAGCGACAUCCCUCUUAAAUACUUGCUAAUUUGUUGUUAUUAUUGCAUAUUUUGUUAGGACAAAAGCAGGCAACACUCUAAAUGUUAUAAAGGGUGGAAAAGGUGCAGGUAAAAGAAUUUAGGAGCGUGAAGUAGAUGUAGCCUUUCUGCAUGUUCAAAUCUUAUGCGCUGAAUAUAUUUAGGGAAUCUGAUGAUUACUCAUUCAAAUGCCAACUAGUUUCAAUGUAAGCUCCGGUUUUCCUGGUUACAUUUUCCAUAAACUCUUCAACACUA